UGAGCGUGACCUGUUAAGUUGAACACGGUGAAGCAUUCACCGUAUCUUUUUUACAUUUUACUUAAACAGUAUCUUUUUCUCAUUCAUCAUAUUUAUUAUAUUAAAUAUUGUAUAAAUUAAGUCGAAUGCGGUGAACUAUUCAUCGUAUUUGGACACGGUGACUGAUUCACCGCGUUCAACUCUCGUGGCGCUUGUGUAGUUUCAUAACG
rnacentral:lncRNA from 1 species